UACGUAGGGUGCAAGCGUUGUCCGGAAUUAUUGGGCGUAAAGAGUUCGUAGGCGGUUUGUCGCGUCCGUUGUGAAAGCCCGGGGCUCAACCCCGGGUCUGCAGUGGAUACGGGCAGACUAGAGUCAGGUAGGGGAGAACGGAAUUCCUGGUGUAGCGGUGAAAUGCGCAGAUAUCAGGAGGAACACCGGUGGCGAAGGCGGGUCUCUGGGCCGAUACUGACGCUGAGGAGCGAAAGCGUGGGGAGCGAACAGG
rnacentral:rRNA from 1 species